rnacentral:rRNA from 3 species
CGACUUAUAUUCUGUAGCAAGGUUAACCGAAUAGGGGAGCCGGAGGGAAACCGAGUCUUAAUUGGGCGUUAAGUUGCAGGGUAUAGACCCGAAACCCGGUGAUCUAGCCAUGGGCAGGUUGAAGGUUGGGUAACACUAACUGGAGGACCGAACCGACUAAUGUUGAAAAAUUAGCGGAUGACCUGUGGCUGGGGGUGAAAGGCCAAUCAAACCGGGAGAUAGCUGGUUCUCCCCGAAAGCUAUUUAGGUAGCGCCUCGUGAAUUCAUCUCCGGGGGUAGAGCACUGUUUCGGCUAGGGGGCCAUCCCGGCUUACCAACCCGAUGCAAACUGCGAAUACCGGAGAAUGUUAUCACGGGAGACACACGGCGGGUGCUAACGUCCGUCGUGAAGAGGGAAACAACCCAGACCGCCAGCUAAGGUCCCAAAGUCAUGGUUAAGUGGGAAACGAUGUGGGAAGGCCCAGACAGCCAGGAUGUUGGCUUAGAAGCAGCCAUCAUUUAAAGAAAGCGUAAUAGCUCACUGGUCGAGUCGGCCUGCGCGGAAGAUGUAACGGGGCUAAACCAU